UGUACCCGGCUGGACUAACAGGAAGUGCACACUCAGUGUAGAACACUCAGUGUGCACUUCCUGUUAGUCCGGCCGGGUACA